UUACGGGAGGCAGCAGUGGGGAAUAUUGGACAAUGGGGGGAACCCUGAUCCAGCCAUGCCGCGUGUGUGAAGAAGGCCUUUUGGUUGUAAAGCACUUUAAGCGAGGAGGAGGAGCUCUAGAUUAAUACUCUAGAUGCUUGGACGUUACUCGCAGAAUAAGCACCGGCUAACUCUGUGCCAGCAGCCGCGGUAAUACAGAGGGUGCAAGCGUUAAUCGGAUUUACUGGGCGUAAAGCGUGCGUAGGUGGUCUUUUAAGUCGGAUGUGAAAUCCCUGAGCUUAACUUAGGAAUUGCAUUCGAUACUGGGAGACUAGAGUAUGGGAGAGGAUGGUAGAAUUCCAGGUGUAGCGGUGAAAUGCGUAGAGAUCUGGAGGAAUACCGAUGGCGAAGGCAGCCAUCUGGCCUAAUACUGACACUGAGGUACGAAAGCAUGGGGAGCAAACAGGAUUAGAUACCCCGGU
rnacentral:rRNA from 1 species